rnacentral:rRNA from 1 species
UGCCAGCAGCCGCGGUAAUACAGAGGGUGCAAGCGUUAAUCGGAAUUACUGGGCGUAAAGGGAGCGUAGGUGGCUCGAUAAGUCAGAUGUGAAAUCCCCGGGCUCAACCUGGGAACUGCAUCUGAUACUGUUGAGCUAGAGUAUGUGAGAGGAAGGUAGAAUUCCAGGUGUAGCGGUGAAAUGCGUAGAGAUCUGGAGGAAUACCGAUGGCGAAGGCAGCCUUCUGGCAUAAUACUGACACUGAGGCUCGAAAGCGUGGGUAGCAAACAGGAUUAGAUA